rnacentral:rRNA from 1 species
AGCGAACGCUGGCGGCAGGCUUAACACAUGCCAGUCGAACGGGCUUCUUCGGAAGUCAGUGGCAGACGGGUGAGUAACACGUGGGAACGUGCCCUUCGGUUCGGAAUAACUCAGGGAAACUUGAGCUAAUACCGGAUACGCCCUUUUGGGGAAAGGUUUACUGCCGAAGGAUCGGCCCGCGUCUGAUUAGCUUGUUGGUGGGGUAACGGCCUACCAAGGCGACGAUCAGUAGCUGGUCUGAGAGGAUGAUCAGCCACACUGGGACUGAGACACGGCCCAGACUCCUACGGGAGGCAGCAGUGGGGAAUAUUGGACAAUGGGCGCAAGCCUGAUCCAGCCAUGCCGCGUGAGUGAUGAAGGCCUUAGGGUUGUAAAGCUCUUUUGUCCGGGACGAUAAUGACGGUACCGGAAGAAUAAGCCCCGGCCAACUUCGUG